CCUUGCACCUGGAUCAAUGGGCUGCCCUAAUGAAGGAUAUCAAAAAUGAAGGGGCAGCUAAAGAAAAAUAAAAGACACCUCAGAAAGUAGCCUGCCUCUUUGACAAGGGACAUGCCUUCAGAGGAACAUAACAGAAACCUCUGAGAAUUGUCAACAAUAAAAAGACUGAGCAACAAGGGAAACUGGUAGGAAGCCAAAGGUUUUAAGAGGUGAGAGUGGAGAAAUGCUGUGCUUUUAUUGAUCCUCUCCAAAGGAACACCUUUAAAAAAGCAUGAUAUAAAUUGGCACUAAUCCUCAUAAGAGAAGAAUGUCAGCCAAGCCAGUGAAGGAAUUUUGGAGUUCGCUUUGAAGACUUAUGCACUCUCCAGCUGGUCACAGACACUACACUCACCCAUUUUGCAAAAAUCAAGUUACCAGGAAAAUAUUUUUUAAAAACCACGAACAGUCUAAGAGCACUGAACAUUUUGAAUCAUUUGCCUUUUCUCAACACUGGAUUUUAAGCAAGGAACAAGACUAUUCCAGUUCUAAAUGCUUUAAUGAACAAGGGGUAUUGGGUUUUAGCAUCAACAUGAUCUAUCCUCACUCUGAAGCUUUAACUUGAGUAGCUGCUGUGCUUUGUAAAGCUUCAAUCCAAUUCAUUUGAUAACUACAAUUACCAAAUCUGGGCAUUGCUGACUACACAGUUCAAAAAAACAGCAUGGAGGGAAGACCUGCUGAGAACCUUAGAAUCUAUCGAUAAGCUCUUGAAAUGGUUUAAAGUAAUAAACCACUUCAAUUGAAAGGGCAAUAAAAUGUUUUUCGUGUA
rnacentral:lncRNA from 1 species